AAGCACCUCCUUCCUCCACUCCAUUGCUCGCCUCCAGCGUCAAGCACCGCCUCCCUCCAGUCCAUCCUUCCCUCUUCUCUGUGCCGGCGUCUCUUCCUCCGCCUCUGCCGCCGCCCAGGAAAUUGGCAUAGACGCGAAGAAGCAAAAGGUGGUGGAUAAAUUACAGUCUGGUGGUAACUCUAAGAGAGAAAAUUGGAGAACUGAAUUGCCUGACGCAGGGUUGGGAGCGGGAGUUCUGGAACAAAUGAAAGACGAGAAAAGAAAAGAUGUGGCUUGGCAAGGCAAAUGCUCGGGUACAGUAUAUAUUGGAGGAAGUGAAUUCGAAGGACAUUUUUCUCUAAUUAAUGAGGCAGCUCUACUUCUUUGGAUGUCU